rnacentral:rRNA from 5 species
AAAUUGAAGAGUUUGAUCAUGGCUCAGAUUGAACGCUGGCGGCAGGCCUAACACAUGCAAGUCGAACGGUAACAGGAAGCAGCUUGCUGCUUCGCUGACGAGUGGCGGACGGGUGAGUAAUGUCUGGGAAACUGCCUGAUGGAGGGGGAUAACUACUGGAAACGGUGGCUAAUACCGCAUAACGUCGCAAGACCAAAGAGGGGGACCUUCGGGCCUCUUGCCAUCAGAUGUGCCCAGAUGGGAUUAGCUGGUUGGUGAGGUAACGGCUCACCAAGGCGACGAUCCCUAGCUGGUCUGAGAGGAUGACCAGCCACACUGGAACUGAGACACGGUCCAGACUCCUACGGGAGGCAGCAGUGGGGAAUAUUGCACAAUGGGCGCAAGCCUGAUGCAGCCAUGCCGCGUGUAUGAAGAAGGCCUUCGGGUUGUAAAGUACUUUCAGCGGGGAGGAAGGUGUUGUGGUUAAUAACUGCAGCAAUUGACGUUACCCGCAG